rnacentral:misc_RNA from 1 species
GAUGAAGAACGUAGCGAAAUGCGAUACGUAAUGUGAAUUGCAGAUUUCAGUGAAUCAUCGAAUCUUUGAACGCACAUUGCGCCCGCCAGUAUUCUGGCGGGCAUGCCUGUUCGAGCGUCAUUUCAACCAUCAAGCGCCUCGCUUGUGUUGGGGCCCUGCGGCUGCCGCAGGCCCCUAAAUCCAGUGGCGGGCUCGUCGUCGUACCGAGUGCAGUAAACAUCCUCGCUCAGGGAACCCGACGGGUGCCGGCCGUGAAACCCCCCCUCUUCAAGGUUGACCUCGGAUCAGGUAGGAAUACCCGCUGAACUUAAGCAUAUCAAUAAGCGGAGGA